GCUGUGAUCGUAUAGUGGUUAGUACUCUGCGCUGUGGCUGCAGCAACCCCGGUUCGAAUCCGAUGCACGGCA
rnacentral:tRNA from 1 species